GAACUGAAAUGAAAAACUGGAAAGAAGUCAGCUGGAAAUGAAAGAUUUUGGUUGUAUUAAUCAUGGCAACUUUUACAAUAAUUCAAAAUCUCAUUAUUUUAAGAUGUUCCAGAAAAAAAAUUAACUUCAAAAUUCAAAUGUUCCAUGAUUUGUCUGACACAGUAGACAAAGGUAUUUUAAUAUAUUAAUUAACACUGGCAAAGGAUAAGCUUGGAACUGUACAGAGUUGUGGGCUGCUUGCUGAGAUCCAGCUAGUGAUGAACUUCUGCUUUAUCUUGAUCAUUUCUUGUUAAACAUGCAUUUAUUUGGCUGCCAAUCCAAGAGAAGACUGUGCCCUACCAGGCUGCUGAGUGGGGUUCUGUCGUGCAGUUGAGUGUCCCAUGGGAUGUGUACAGUCAGCAGUUGUGAGGCUCUGCAGUAACAAGGACCACAGUAUCACCCUGUUUGAAGACUUUAAAACUUGAAAAGCCCAUCAUCCUACAAAAGUACUUCUUAAUUUUUGUGCUCUCGAUCAUUUCCGUGAUGGGGAGUUGUGUUAUAUUGAGAAUGACCUAAAGGACUGU